ACCUGUGUCCCCUGAACUGGCAGGCGGAUUCUUAACCACUGAGCCACCAGGGAAGCCCAGCAAUAUCCUUUAUUUCUGAGAAACUCUCUCAUGCAUAUGUAAUCCUAAUAUGAGUGGAUUUUAUCCUUUUAUCAAUACCUCUAUGUGUGACCCACUAGUGUAAAUAACAAAUUUUAAAAGCACCCAGCACAUUUUAUACACCUGUAGACUGAUUCUGUAACGAGUUAGCAACAUUCUUACAUAGUUCAGGAAGAAAACGUCUGCUCCAGGACAGGGAAUUAAUUUCUCCUUCACCCCCCCAUAGGUAGGAAAGGAAGAAUGAUCCUCUUUUGAGGUGCUCUGUAGUGCCAGAAGGAGUGAUCAGACAAUGCCUGAAAUAGAAGAGUUUUGCUUGGGACCAGUGUUUAACCUGAGGUUAUAAUGCCUGGUUUUAGGAAACUCUCAUGACAUUCAAUGGUGAUUUUAUUUGUUAAGUUUCAGAAACUAAAUCAAACACAGAUUUAAAUUUUUUUUCAGAUAAAAAAGAUUUUUAAAUUUACUACCAAUAUGUUUACUGGACUUUCUCAGCCUCAUGCUGUAAUUGUCUUUUUAUUUUUAGGCCGAUCUGUCUACUCAUUUUCCAGAUUUGCAGUAAUUCAGAAAGUAUCCUAAACUCCGCCUACUCAGUCACCCUUCCCCCCCACCACAUUCAAGUUCAAAUCCAGGAUGUUCUACCUCCAAAAUAUCUUUCAAAAACAUUCUCAUUUCUCCAUCUUUAUCCUCACUGCAUUGGUUAAGGUCCCCAGUCUCCCAGACGGUCUUUCCUGAAAACUAGACCUGGAAUUAUUUUUCUAAAACAACAAUCUAGUCACGUCAUUCACUGUUUUGCUUAAAAUGUUCUGUCCUGCCGCCAGAGUAUACUUCAAACUCCUGAGCCAGACGGGUUGUAUCUUUGCCUGCUUUACUAGCCUUACCUCCUCCCUUCACCCACAUCCUUUACUUCUUCAGUGUUUCUCAAAAUGCUGUCCUUGCACCAUCCCCAAGAAAAUCACCACUUAUUGGGAAUUCCCUGGUGGUCCAGUGGAUAGGACUCCGCGCUUUCACUGCUGAGGGCGAGGGUUCCAUCCUUGCUAGGGGAACUAAGAUCCUGCAAGCUGCAUGGUGCGACCAAAAAAAAUCCUGGGUCCUGUCUGAGGUCUAUAGAAUCAGAAACCGUGAGGUACGGGGCCAGAAAUAUGCAUUGUUAAACUCUGGGUUGAUUCUCAGGCAACAUGAAGAAUUCGGUAACUGCCAGGAGCAUUUGCCAACUACUUGUUCAAUGUCCCACAUUCUCUCCUCUACAUGCCUUUACCUUGUGCUGUGUGACACACACACACGCACACACACGCGCACACACACACACACACACACACACACACGAUUUUUUUUGCCUGGCUGAGUUUGGACUCUGCUUCUAAAUUAGUUCUAAAUCUUCCUUAAGAGUCACCUAUGGCAAACCUUCCUUGACUCCCCUAGGCUGGCUGAAGAGCUAACCUCUGUAUUGCCCUUAAGGCAUACAAGUGCAAUUUGUUAUUGUUGCUGCUGGUUAUGCAUCUAUUUCACUGCCAGGUUGGAACUUCAAAUAUGAAUUUAGGAGGAGGACACAGUUCAGCCUCUAACAGUCACUGCAGUUUUGGGAUUUACUUUGUCAUCACAGCAUGGAAUAGCUUAUUGUGAUCAAAACAGUUUUCCUGGGAACAGGAAUGAAGAUGUGUUUGUUUUGAACAUACAAAUUUAUGUUUAUAUAUGAGGAUGUGCGUUGGCGUAGGUGUGGGUAUGUGUAUAUGUGCUGUGCAGAACGUUAUAACCUGUGAAUGAGUUAUGUGAUACCAAGAUAUUGUUCAUUCAUCCUUGAGAUAGGUAGGUAGGUCCUGGGAGGUAGGAAUCUCUAGACUACUCAGCUUAGGUCAUGAGCAGCCCCUCUGUACACCGAGUGUAUCAUACAAAUAUUAUCUUCUAUGUACAUAAUGGUUUUUUAAAAAUUCCAAAGUACUUUUACACACUACGAAUAAUUAUAUACCAUGUCAACAUAAAUAUUUUAUGAAUGUCCCCUAUUUUAUGGAAUAUAGAGAAAAUUUAUUGAUAACCUAAGUGCCAAGCACUGUUCUAAAUUCACUAUUCUAAUACAUAAAACUCUAAAUGAGUUAUAUAUAUUGACUCAUUAUAUUCUCAAAAUAACCCUACAAAAUAACUUUACAAAACUAUUGAUAUCCCAUUUUACAGAUGAGGAGACUGAGGCACAGGUGGGUUAAAGACUUGCCCAUUUACAAAGAUGGUAAAAAGUAGAGCCAGAAUUUGAACCUAGGCAGCCUGUCUCUAGUCUUUCUGGCGCAGCACUUAUAGCCGUUGACAAUUUCAAGCAAAAAAAAAAAAAAAUAGUGAAUGAAUUUCAUAGUUGAAUUUUGGAAUUUCCUUUUUUCCCCCCUUAUGUCUAACAGGCAGUGAUUGAGUCAAGUUUACCUCUUUGAUGCCUUUGAAGUGUGGUUAUUUUGCUUUAUAACAAAAUUAAAUCCUUGCUCUGAAAAACGAUGUACUCCAAGACAUGAGUAAGCACAGUGUAAGCUGAAGAUCAAUGCCAUAAUUCCAAUCAAUUCAAUUCAGCAAAGUAUUUGUUGAGUAACUGCCAUGUGCUAGGCUUUGUGCUGUGUGCAUGGAACACAGUAAAGACUGAGAUGACACUGUUCCUUGCAUAAUAGCCACCGUUACAGAGGGGUUUAUGGUAUUUUCCUCAAAUGUGUUACUGAAGAAAAAGUUAAGGGCCAUGGUCGUUUAGAUGUCCACUGAGCUACUAAGGAGAACUAAGAAAUUAAAAUGGAGAAUUUAAAAAUAUUUAUUCAUUCAUUUAAAAUGUAAUAAACCCAUUAUAUGUUAACAAAAUAUAUUUUAUGAAAAACAAUUAUUUCCAAAAACAAAAAAUCCAGUGAGAAAAGUGACAUUUGAUUUGUUUUUUUGUUUGGCUGAGUUCCAUAAUGUCAUGCUUAAUAAAAACCAGAUUCUC